rnacentral:rRNA from 1 species
AUUGAACGCUGGCGGCAGGCUUAACACAUGCAAGUCGAGCGGGAGCACAGGGGUGCUUGCUCCCUGGGUGACGAGAGGCGGACGGGUGUGCCAUGUCUGGGAAACUGCCUGAUGGAGGGGGAUAACUAUUGGAAACGGUAGCUAAUACCGCAUAACGUCGCAAGACCAAAGAGGGGGAGCUUCUGGCCUCUUGCCAUCAGAUGUGCCCAGAUGGCAUGAGCUAGUAGGUGGGGUAAUGGGUCACCUAGGCGACGAUCCCUAGCUGGUCUGAGAGGAUGACCAGCCACACUGGAACUGAGACACGGUCCAGACUCCUACGGGAGGCAGCACUGGGGACUAUUGGACAAUGGGCGCAAGCCUGAUGCAGCCAUGCCGCGUGUGUGAAGAAGGCCUUCGGGUUGUAAAGCACUUUCAGUGCGGAGGAAGGUGGUGAGCUUAAUACGCUCAUCCAUUGACGUUACUCGCAGAAGAAGCACCGGCUAACUCCGUG